rnacentral:rRNA from 1 species
CAGUCGCCACGGUAAUACGAAGGGUGCAAGCGUUACUCGGAAUUACUGGGCGUAAAGCGUGCGUAGGUGGUGGUUUAAGUCCGUUGUGAAAGCCCUGGGCUCAACCUGGGAAUGGCAGUGGAUACUGGCUCGCUAGAGUGUGUCAGAGGAUGGUGGAAUUCCCGGUGUAGCUGUGAAAUGCGUAGAGAUCGGGAGGAACAUCAGUGGCGAAGGCGGCCAUCUGGGACAACACUGACGCUGAGGCACGAAAGCGUGGGGAGCAAACAGGAUUAGAUACCCCUGUAGUCCCUGUCUCUUAUAC